GACGAACGCUGGCGGCGUGCUUAACACAUGCAAGUCGAACGGAAAGGCCUCUUUCGGGGGGUACUCGAGUGGCGAACGGGUGAGUAACACGUGAGUAACCUGCCCUUGACUUUGGGAUAACUUCAGGAAACUGGGGCUAAUACCGGAUAGGAGCUCCUGCUGCAUGGUGGGGGUUGGAAAGUUUCGGCGGUUGGGGAUGGACUCGCGGCUUAUCAGCUUGUUGGUGGGGUAGUGGCUUACCAAGGCUUUGACGGGUAGCCGGCCUGAGAGGGUGACCGGCCACAUUGGGAAUGAGAUACGGCCCAGACUCCUACGGGAGGCAGCAGGGGGGAAUAUUGCACAAGGGGUGGAAGCCUGAUGCAGCAACGCCGUGUGCGGGAUGACGGCCUUCGGGUUGUAAACCGCUUUCGCUCAUGACGAAGCUUUGUGUGACGGUAGUGGGUAAAGAAGCACCGGCUAACUACGUG
rnacentral:rRNA from 1 species